UAAAUCAUUUUGAGAAACAUUGAGAAGAUGCAGGAAUCUGGAAGUUAUGAAGUCAUUAAAAAUGGAAGAAGAAAAAAUAGUGUUGAACUUCUACUUACAAAAAAAGUUAACGUGUAAAACAACCUCUGGCAGGUUCAUCAGGAGGUAUUGCAGAAGAAGGCAUUGAUACAAGGGAUAACAGCUUCAUGUGGGGUAUUGCCCCUGAAAGUCUUCCAGUGGGACAAGCAUAAACAGUUGGAUGAAAUAGUUGGAUCAG
rnacentral:lncRNA from 10 species